rnacentral:rRNA from 1 species
UACGUAGGGGGCGAGCGUUGUCCGGAUUUAUUGGGCGUAAAGAGCUCGUAGGCGGCUUGGCAAGUCGGGUGUGAAACCUCCAGGCUCAACCUGGAGACGCCACUCGAUACUGCCAUGGCUAGAGUCCGGUAGGGGACCACGGAAUUCCUGGUGUAGCGGUGAAAUGCGCAGAUAUCAGGAGGAACACCGGUGGCGAAGGCGGUGGUCUGGGCCGGCACUGACGCUGAGGAGCGAAAGCAUGGGGAGCGGACAGG